GAUGAAGAACGCAGCGAAAUGCGAUAAGUAAUGUGAAUUGCAGAAUUCAGUGAAUCAUCGAAUCUUUGAACGCACAUUGCGCCCCCUGGUAUUCCGGGGGGCAUGCCUGUUCGAGCGUCAUUUCACCACUCAAGCCUCGCUCGGUAUUGGGCAACGCGGUCCGCCGCGUGCCUCAAAUCGACCGGCUGGGUCUUCUGUCCCCUAAGCGUUGUGGAAACUAUUCGCUAAAGGGUGUUCGGGAGGCUACGCCGUAAAACAACCCCAUUUCUAAGGUUGACGUCGGAUCAGGUAGGGAUACCCGCUGAACUUAAGCAUAUCAAUAAGCGGAGGA
rnacentral:misc_RNA from 1 species